rnacentral:rRNA from 1 species
AGGCCUAACACAUGCAAGUCGAACGGCAGCACAGCAGUAGCAAUACUGUGGUGGCGAGUGGCGGACGGGUGAGGAAUACAUCGGAAUCUGCCUAGUCUGGGGGAUAACUAGGGAAACUUACGCUAAUACCGCAUACGACUACGGGUGAAGCGGGGGAUCGCAAGACCUCGCGCGAUUAGAUGAGCCGAUGUCCGAUUAGCUAGUUGGCGGGGUAAUGGCCCACCAAGGCGACGAUCGGUAGCUGGUCUGAGAGGAUGAUCAGCCACACUGGAACUGAGACACGGUCCAGACUCCUACGGGAGGCAGCAGUGGGGAAUAUCGGACAAUGGGCGCAAGCCUGAUCCAGCCAUGCCGCGUGGGUGAAGAAGGCCUUCGGGUUGUAAAGCCCUUUUGUCCGGAAAGAAAAGCACUGGAUUAAUACUUCGGUGUUCUGACGGUACCGGAAGAAUAAGCACCGGCUAACUUCGUG